AUACUUACCUGGACGGGGUCCAUUGCCGAUCCGGAAGGGCAAUGACCCAGAAUGAGCCGAGCCAUUGCACUUCGGUUGGGCGAAUUCUAGCAAUUCCUCAAGGGGACAUUGCACGUCAUCAUUUGUGGCAGAGGAGGGCUCGCGUUCGCGCGGCCCUCCA
rnacentral:snRNA from 1 species